AUUAUAAUUAGAUCAAAAAAUAAAAAUAAAAUUUUAAUUAUUUCAUAAAAUUGAUCUGUUGCAUGUCUAGACUAGUUGUAGAAUUGUUCUAGUAACUUAUCUAGAAUAGUUUUUAUUUUGAAUAGUUUAAUUUAAAUUUUAUUUUUCUGAUAUUACAUGUGAUGUAUCAUAUCUGAAAGCAUGUUAAUUAGAUUGAUUUUUGAUACAUGAGAUGUAUGCAAAGCAUGUAUUAGUUAGAUCUUAAAUUGUAUAUGUGAUAUGUCAAUUUAGAUCUAACUAGUUUUGUAGUUAAAUUUAUAUUUCUGAUUAAGGUGUUCCUCAUGGCCGUCUGAUUAUAAGAAUAAAGUAAAAUUUUAAGACCCUCUCUUCCCAUUCAAUGGGAUGUUCAUAUGACAUGUAGGGGUGCCGCGCGUUCAUCCUUAAUCAGAAAUCAAAACUUACUUUUCUGCAAAACCCUAGAUCCUGAAAUCCUAGGAUUUAUUUUACAUAUUUUGUUUAUGAACCCAAACUUAAUUAAUGAAUUAAGCUUAUGAAAUUAAGUUAGGUCUCAAAUUGAAAAUUUUAGAUCUAAGAUAUUUUCAUAAAAUUGGGUUCGGGCUUGGGUAGCUCAAUUAGGUCUAGUGAUUGAUCAAACCGAAUCAAGAGUUGGUUAGGUGGGAUCAUGAAAGCUAAUAAUUGACCAGCCUAAUAGGAUUAAGUCUGGGUCAAGGUCGAAUCACAUUUAGAUGUGACUCGAUCAAGUUAAGACAUAAUUUGGCUUAAUGGUUAGAGCCUGGAUUGUAGGCUAACCCAAUUAGUUCUGGUUCGACAAUUUGGUGUCUAAGGUAGGUUGGGCAGAUGCGAC
rnacentral:lncRNA from 1 species